CAGAACUGAUUUAAAUUUAUUUUUGAUUGUUAAAGUUUUUAGUGUUGCACUACUUGUUUUUAAACGUGAUUGACUUGUAUUGAUUAGCAGGAAGCUCUCAUUUCUUGGAUAAGACUCAACUCACAAAGAAAGGAGAUGCACACUUGAAACAAGAAGGUCUAAUUAGAAUGCACAACUCAGUGGCUCUCUCUGAACCCAUGAAAAUAUCAUCUAUCCCAGAUGUUCCACAAACACCUCAUCAAAUACUUGGAAAAGAAAACUCAACUGUUCCAGUGUAUGUUUCUCUUAAUAAAGGCUUAAUUCUUAAAUGCUUGACUGAAAAGUUGUUAAAGCAAGGAAUAAAUGAUCCAGAAUAUCAAUGGGUUGGUCCCAUUGGCUUGAUAACGAAAGACUCAGGAAGACUUGUUUUAACAGCAGACUACCU